rnacentral:lncRNA from 1 species
GCCUUUUCUCCUAAUUCUUUUGCUCUUUUUCUUCUCAUUUCACCUUCCAUUUCUUCACCCAUUACUUCUUCAAUCACCUUCUUAAUAUCAUCUUUGCUUACUUGUUUUCCCAAUUUUUCUUCCUCCCCAAACAUCACUGGACUCUCUGUGCCCGCUUUCACUCCUGUCUUGAUUACAUUUACUAUUAGCCUCUCAUUAAUGAACUGCUCGGCAAACAUUGGCCAAGUGAUCAUCGCCACGCCAGCAGUUAUACCUUCCAGGCUCGAAUUCCAUCCACAGUGUGUCAAGAAUGCACCAACUGAAGGAUGAGAUAAUAUUAGUACUUGUGGCGCCCAACCAUGGAUUAAAAGUCCUUGUCCUUUAACUCUUUCCUCAAAAUCUUCUUCCACUAGCCAUUUCUCGAACUCAUCUGACAUGUGUCUAACAACCCAAAUGAAGGGUCGUUUCGAUGAUUGUAGGCCGAGCCCUAGCUCUACCAUCUGAGACGUGGAAAGGCGCGAUAGGCUUCCAAGACAUACAAAGAGUACAGAGGCUUGUUCCCAAGAAUCAAGCCAGUUUAGGCACUUGUGCUACCCUCGACGUAUUCUUUUUCCAAAUCCUCAAAGCUAUUCACCACUAUCCCAUAAGCUUCCUCCUCCGCUUUCUUCAUUUGAUCAGCGAUUUCUUUCCAAUCUACAUCUCUUGGAUUGAGAACAUUUGCGAUCUGUUUUUUGUUGAGUUCAAUCUUAUCGAAUAAUCCAGGCACUUGAAAGUACUGUGUAUCAGACUCAAUCUUUAUUAACUCCUCCCAAUUUCUCAAAUUGUGUAAGCACAACAAAGAGAAGCAACACAUCCCAUGGAAAACAAUCCUAGGGAUGUUAAAUUUGUGUGCAACAUUAGUUGUCCAUGAGAAACACAUAUCAGAUAUUACACAACUUGGUGAAGGUUUCAUUUCUUGCAACAUUUCUUCCACUUGGGGUUGAAGUCUUCUCGUAGCAUCGUAGAAUUUCAGCCCCAAAUCCAUCGAUGGAAGCAUGUCGAAAUUUUCACACCCUUCAGGUAGUCCAGCCUCUACGCUUGGAAAGUAGAGGUGAACCACCUGAAUCUUUAGUCCUGUUUCAAUUGCAUGAUCAACAACAUUUUUGAAUCUAUUGGCGUUCAAGCGUGUAGUAAGGAUUGUGAUUAUAACUCCGCGUUGUGCCAGUAAUCGCGCCAUGUCAAUCAUAGGAAUCAUAUGGCCUUGUGCCAUGAAAGGAAGCAACACAAAAUGUGGCUGCAUUGUUGGAACAUCCAUAUUUUUAGUAGAAAGAUGAGAGGAUAUAUAUUUUUGUUAUACUAAUUAAGGUUGUUAUACUGGGUUUCAUUAUUGCUUUGUACAGUGAUUAUGUAACAGCACAGUUAGCAUUAUCUUAAUGUGUGGUUGGCAUUGUGAAUUUAGAUUUGUGAAGAUGCUGAUUGGAUUAUCAUUGUUGGAAAAGUAUAAGAUAAGAUUAAAUAGAGCAAAUGCCCAAAAAUAGUCCAUAAUUUUUGGGUUAAGAGCACUAAUAAUUACUCAUAGUCCUCCCACAAACUUUUACUUAUUUUUUAGCAUUGAUUUUGUCCACAAUUUGAUGUAGAGAAUGUUCAAUCAUUUUUUAUAUAUAUAUUUAAUAGAAAUAAUAACUCUAUGUAAGAGAAGGUGAGAAAAAAGACCUUUAUUUUGUUCAGUAAAAAUAUUAUUGCAGCUAAACUAAGAACGUAUCUUUGAUUGUCGAACUAUAUCAAUUUAUUGUUGACAUAUAGUGUUGCAAGAAAAGAAAUUGUUGUACCACUGCGAUGUCAUAUGCCAACAAUGAAUUGAUAUAGUUCAAAGUAAAUGUAGGUUCAUAGCUUAACUGUAAUAAUAUUAUCUAUUUAACGGAACAGGUUGUUCUAUAAGUUAUUAUUUCAUCUAAAUAUAUUAAAAAAACAAUUGAACAUUCCAUAAAUAAAAAUUUGGACAAAAUCAAUAUUAAAAAAAUAGGCAAAAGUGUAGGAGAGGACUAAAAGUACGCCAAUAUUACAAACAUAAGGGACUAUUAAUGCCCCAUGUGCAAACCCAAAAAUGACUUUAAGUCUUAACCUAAAGAUAAGAUAUUAUUUUGAGUUUUAUACAAGAUAGAUGUAGGAAUAAAAAUGGUCCCAUUCUACAAGUUCUGGCAGGAAGUGUAUCAUUCUUAUAAGAGAAAAUACUUCUGAACUUAACGCGAAUUAUUAAUCUCAUCCCUGAGUUAUUGGCACUUUUGAAAACACCUCUCUACUUAACUAAUUGAACUUAAAUGUCCCCUCUCAUGCCAUACACAUAAACGUGUUAUUCACGCAGAAUUUUCUGUUGAUGUAGCAUAACAAUAUCAAUAAAACUAUCUGUGUCUUAUUAUAGUAACUGAACUUUUAACAUUACUAUAAGACUUGAUUUGAACUAUAAGGAAUACAUGGUUACCUCUUCAAUCAACCCUUUAAACGAUUUGCUUGCUCUGUAACAUAUUGAAUCAAUUGUGUCAAGUUGAGGUAAGAGGAACCCCCUUCCGCCACAGCCCUCUUUGCCUUUUCUCCUAAUUCUUUUGCUCUUUUCUUCUCAUUUCACCUUCCAUUUCUUCACCCAUUACUUCUUCAAUCACCUUCUUAAUAUCAUCUUUGCUUACUUGUGUUCCCAAUUUUCUUCUUCUCCAAACAUCACUGGAUUCUCCAUGCCGGCCUUCACUCCUGUCGCGAGUACAUUCACUAUUAGCCUCUCAUUGCAAAACUGCUCAGCAAACAUUGGCCAAGUGAUCAUCGGCACGCCAGCAGAUAUACCUUCCAGGCUCGAAUUCCAUCC